rnacentral:sRNA from 1 species
UUCAGUUUCCCUGUGAAAUAUGGAGACAUGUAAGCCAGAGAAUUUGACUUCAACUGAGGAAGAGAAAAUGGAAUUCUUAGACUGUUGGAAACGAUUUUGGAUCAACAGAUUUGUAGGUUGAUUUGCAGGUUGAGAUUUCAGUUGGUUUCGCCAUCCCUCCACUCGGACAUUCUAUCUAACUACUGAAGCUUCUGAGAUCUAAAAUUUGCUCCUCAUGCUUGAAAGGCAAGCAUUUAUGACUGCGUUGCCACUCCAGCCCCAAUUUGUAUCUUAAAGUUGUAAAAUCUAAUUUUGAAGAAAUCAGAAAGACAUUGUCUACUGAGUAGCUCCCCUCAGGAUGAUUUUUUCCCCCUGCUGGCUCCCUUUUUCUUCAUUAUUUUAAUGGCUACAUCUUUGCUCUGAUGUGUCAAUGGAAGUGGAAAAUCCAGUGAAGCCAGAGCUUAGAGAAACGCCAGCUGGAACAGAAGGAUAAAGUUUCUUUGGAGAAGCUUCAAAGAGAUGCGGGCUGGGUGAUUGAAAACUUGUUGCUCUUCAGGAUCAUAUCAUGACAUCUAAGCUACAUAGAAGGUAGGAGGAACAGAAACGAGGGAAAACACAAAGAACAACUAUCUCUCAGCUGGAGAAUGAUUUUUCUCUGUGACUUUGAGCAAACUUCUGUAUUUCCUUUUAUUCUUGGUAUUUAAAAUUGGAAUUAAACUCCU